rnacentral:rRNA from 1 species
CCCGGGCUUUGUACACACCGCCCGUCACACCAUGGGAGCUGACUCAACCAGAAAACAGUCAGGGUAACCGUAAGGGCCUCUGUUGAAGGUGGGGUUGGUGACUGGGGUG